UUCUUCUGCUUCUUUCUUUUCGCUUUAAAUGAUAUAAUUACAUAAUCGCCAUCAGUAAACAGGAUGCUGUCUGACUGUCACUGGCGGGGAGGGAGGCUGUUUUUCUGGGGGAAAGUUCACUGAAGUCCGGUCUGGAGGGCGGACCAUCGCGUUGAAUUUUCUCAACACAAACAGUCGGUGAGCUAAACUUUUUUUGCCGGUGACAGACGCUGUUUCUCGGGCAGAAAUGUGACGAGGAGUCGGCAGGACAGACAGGAGGACUUUCUGUGUGACUGACCCUUUGGUGACCCUCACGUCGGGCUUCCAUCCAGUCCAGGUCUGAGUCCUUUGACCCAGGUGCUUUACACGUGAAAUCUUCCCCGAGAUCUAGCUGAGGCCUGAAUGCAGAUGGAAGAAUGCAGAGAUUGCUGAGUUUCUGGUUCAUCUCUGACUUCCUCGUUCACUUCAGAGUUGAUGAAGCUGGACUUGCCGGCACCAACGGGUCCAUGAAGCAGAAUCCUGAGGUGGGUGGCUUCAUAGUUAUGAGGU